GGGGAUGUAGUUUAGUGGUAGACUGCUUUCCUAGCAAGCAUGAAGCCCUGGGUUUAACCCCCAGUACCUUUA
rnacentral:tRNA from 1 species